UGUUGGGGUAACGGCCCAACAAGCCUUUGAUCGGUACGGGUUGUGGGAGCAAGAGCCCGGAGAUGGAUUCUGAGACAUGAAUCCAGGCCCUACGGGGCGCAGCAGGCGCGAAAACUUUACAAUGCGAGCAAUCGUGAUAAGGAAACCCUGAGUGCCUGUCAAUGCAGGCUGUUCUGGUGUCUAACACACACCAGGAGAAAGGGCGGGGCAAGACCGGUGCCAGCCGCCGCGGUAAUACCGGCUGCUCGAGUGAUAGCCACUUUUACUGGGCUUAAAGCGUUCGUAGCUUGGUCGUUAAGUCUCUGGGGAAAUCUUUUGGCUUAACCAAAAGGCGUCUCAGGGAAACUGGCGAUCUUGGAACCGGGAGAGGUAAGACGUACUUCGGGGGUAGGAGUGAAAUCUUGUAAUCCCCGAGGGACGACCGAUGGCGAAGGCAUCUUACCAGAACGGCUUCGACAGUGAGGGACGAAAGCUGGGGGAGCAAACCGGAUUAGAU
rnacentral:rRNA from 1 species